rnacentral:rRNA from 1 species
UUAAGCGACUAAGCGUACACGGUGGAUGCCCUGGCAGUCAGAGGCGAUGAAGGACGUGCUAAUCUGCGAUAAGCGUCGGUAAGGUGAUAUGAACCGUUAUAACCGGCGAUUUCCGAAUGGGGAAACCCAGUGUGUUUCGACACACUAUCAUUAACUGAAUCCAUAGGUUAAUGAGGCGAACCGGGGGAACUGAAACAUCUAAGUACCCCGAGGAAAAGAAAUCAACCGAGAUUCCCCCAGUAGCGGCGAGCGAACGGGGAGGAGCCCAGAGCCUGAAUCAGUGUGUGUGUUAGUGGAAGCGUCUGGAAAGGCGCGCGAUACAGGGUGACAGCCCCGUACACAAAAAUGCACAUGCUGUGAGCUCGAUGAGUAGGGCGGGACACGUGGUAUCCUGUCUGAAUAUGGGGGGACCAUCCUCCAAGGCUAAAUACUCCUGACUGACCGAUAGUGAACCAGUACCGUGAGGGAAAGGCGAAAAGAACCCCGGCGAGGGGAGUGAAAAAGAACCUGAAACCGUGUACGUACAAGCAGUGGGAGCACGCUUAGGCGUGUGACUGCGUACCUUUUGUAUAAUGGGUCAGCGACUUAUAUUCUGUAGCAAGGUUAACCGAAUAGGGGAGCCGAAGGGAAACCGAGUCUUAACUGGGCGUUAAGUUGCAGGGUAUAGACCCGAAACCCGGUGAUCUAGCCAUGGGCAGGUUGAAGGUUGGGUAACACUAACUGGAGGACCGAACCGACUAAUGUUGAAAAAUUAGCGGAUGACUUGUGGCUGGGGGUGAAAGGCCAAUCAAACCGGGAGAUAGCUGGUUCUCCCCGAAAGCUAUUUAGGUAGCGCCUCGUGAAUUCAUCUCCGGGGGUAGAGCACUGUUUCGGCAAGGGGGUCAUCCCGACUUACCAACCCGAUGCAAACUGCGAAUACCGGAGAAUGUUAUCACGGGAGACACACGGCGGGUGCUAACGUCCGUCGUGAAGAGGGAAACAACCCAGACCGCCAGCUAAGGUCCCAAAGUCAUGGUUAAGUGGGAAACGAUGUGGGAAGGCCCAGACAGCCAGGAUGUUGGCUUAGAAGCAGCCAUCAUUUAAAGAAAGCGUAAUAGCUCACUGGUCGAGUCGGCCUGCGCGGAAGAUGUAACGGGGCUAAACCAUGCACCGAAGCUGCGGCAGCGACGCUUAUGCGUUGUUGGGUAGGGGAGCGUUCUGUAAGCCUGUGAAGGUGUGCUGUGAGGCAUGCUGGAGGUAUCAGAAGUGCGAAUGCUGACAUAAGUAACGAUAAAGCGGGUGAAAAGCCCGCUCGCCGGAAGACCAAGGGUUCCUGUCCAACGUUAAUCGGGGCAGGGUGAGUCGACCCCUAAGGCGAGGCCGAAAGGCGUAGUCGAUGGGAAACAGGUUAAUAUUCCUGUACUUGGUGUUACUGCGAAGGGGGGACGGAGAAGGCUAUGUUGGCCGGGCGACGGUUGUCCCGGUUUAAGCGUGUAGGCUGGUUUUCCAGGCAAAUCCGGAAAAUCAAGGCUGAGGCGUGAUGACGAGGCACUACGGUGCUGAAGCAACAAAUGCCCUGCUUCCAGGAAAAGCCUCUAAGCAUCAGGUAACAUCAAAUCGUACCCCAAACCGACACAGGUGGUCAGGUAGAGAAUACCAAGGCGCUUGAGAGAACUCGGGUGAAGGAACUAGGCAAAAUGGUGCCGUAACUUCGGGAGAAGGCACGCUGAUAUGUAGGUGAAGUCCCUCGCGGAUGGAGCUGAAAUCAGUCGAAGAUACCAGCUGGCUGCAACUGUUUAUUAAAAACACAGCACUGUGCAAACACGAAAGUGGACGUAUACGGUGUGACGCCUGCCCGGUGCCGGAAGGUUAAUUGAUGGGGUCAGCGCAAGCGAAGCUCUUGAUCGAAGCCCCGGUAAACGGCGGCCGUAACUAUAACGGUCCUAAGGUAGCGAAAUUCCUUGUCGGGUAAGUUCCGACCUGCACGAAUGGCGUAAUGAUGGCCAGGCUGUCUCCACCCGAGACUCAGUGAAAUUGAACUCGCUGUGAAGAUGCAGUGUACCCGCGGCAAGACGGAAAGACCCCGUGAACCUUUACUAUAGCUUGACACUGAACAUUGAGCCUUGAUGUGUAGGAUAGGUGGGAGGCUUUGAAGUGUGGACGCCAGUCUGCAUGGAGCCGACCUUGAAAUACCACCCUUUAAUGUUUGAUGUUCUAACGUUGACCCGUAAUCCGGGUUGCGGACAGUGUCUGGUGGGUAGUUUGACUGGGGCGGUCUCCUCCUAAAGAGUAACGGAGGAGCACGAAGGUUGGCUAAUCCUGGUCGGACAUCAGGAGGUUAGUGCAAUGGCAUAAGCCAGCUUGACUGCGAGCGUGACGGCGCGAGCAGGUGCGAAAGCAGGUCAUAGUGAUCCGGUGGUUCUGAAUGGAAGGGCCAUCGCUCAACGGAUAAAAGGUACUCCGGGGAUAACAGGCUGAUACCGCCCAAGAGUUCAUAUCGACGGCGGUGUUUGGCACCUCGAUGUCGGCUCAUCACAUCCUGGGGCUGAAGUAGGUCCCAAGGGUAUGGCUGUUCGCCAUUUAAAGUGGUACGCGAGCUGGGUUUAGAACGUCGUGAGACAGUUCGGUCCCUAUCUGCCGUGGGCGCUGGAGAACUGAGGGGGGCUGCUCCUAGUACGAGAGGACCGGAGUGGACGCAUCACUGGUGUUCGGGUUGUCAUGCCAAUGGCACUGCCCGGUAGCUAAAUGCGGAAGAGAUAAGUGCUGAAAGCAUCUAAGCACGAAACUUGCCCCGAGAUGAGUUCUCCCUGACUCCUUGAGAGUCCUGAAGGAACGUUGAAGACGACGACGUUGAUAGGCCGGGUGUGUAAGCGCAGCGAUGCGUUGAGCUAACCGGUACUAAUGAACCGUGAGGCUUAACCU